ACUUUUGACUUCACCGCAUCAGAAGCGAUGCAAUAACGUUUAAGACCGACGGUGGAGGAAAAGUGGCUACACUUUGACUUCAGUCACCAAGCAACCAACUGUUGGAGCAACAUCGUCACAUUCAAACGGCAGCGCUUCUUCGAUGGACUCCAGGUUAUCAAUAUAUACAUACAAAUAAGGGAUUCUUCAUAACCACUUAAAUCAGAUGACUUAUGUAUGCACAUGAGAGUUUUUGCAAAAUAAGUUGUAUGAUGUGAGUUGAGGUAGCGGACCUUUGAUGUGAAAUAUCGCAUGCGAGUAAAUUGCAUCAAGAGAGCCUACACUCAUGAUUUGUCGCAAAUGUAACUAAAGCAAUAACACAACUUAAAUAUAUCAUGAAACAGCACUGAUGAUUGAGAACGAAUGAGAAGAAUAAGCACUCUCGGACAACACAAAUGAGCAUCAAUGCCAUCAAUAACGGAUCAACUCUUUAGUUUAUGAGCAAAGAAAUAAAGUGAACAAAUAUUUUGAUGCGAAAAGUUGGUGCGGAAUAUUUUAUAAUGAAAAAUUAAAUUGUGUAAUGUGUUUAUAAGUGUUUAGUGAAUAUUUUUGUGAAAUUUAAUACGUCGAGUUAGUGCGCGUUUUAAUAAUGUGAAAAUUAAAUAAUUUGUAUAGUGCUAGUGAAUAAUGUGUUAUGAAAGUUUCAAUUCUAGAAGUUUGUGCGCGUUUAAAUCGUUUUGUUGUAAGUGAAUAUGAAGGUUGCUGAGACAAGCACGAUGCGGUAUGAUCGGAAUGGCAGCAUAGCAAUCGAUGUAUAGUCUAUUAUAAGUAUGAAGUCAGUUGGCUGGAGCUGCUACGAAUCACUUCUAUCCUCGAAACUUAAUAAGCGCUGAAGAAGACAAAGAUAAAGCUGUAUAAUGAUUAAAAAGGCUAGAGUGAAGCGUUUUGGUUGCUGCAUGAUUUGCUGGAAUCCAGAAACAGGAAAUAUGUCAAGUUCGAAAAAAUCGUAGUCUUGAAACUAUAUUUAAACUGUGAAGAGCGGAAAAUUUAUUCUGACCAGUAUGCAUUAGUGUGGUCCAGAAUUUGUAAGAACUUGGCGGAUGAAAUCAGAUGCAUGUUAAGUCAUUGGAAAAGGGUUAAGUUCAUCAAACGGCCAUAUUGUUCCAGCAGAACUGUUCAACGAAACGUGAAAUAAUUCCUUUACCACUUUACAUAAUAUCAAUACACGUAUCAUUGUAUUACAUGAAAACCACGAGCCACCACUAUAAAAAAUGGAAGAAAAAGGAGUCUCCAACCGACCAACAGCAAGCGUUUAAAUGACAUUCUUAAAACGGAGAAGAUCCAAGCCUCUUCCGAGCGACUAUUGGAGUCAGGCAACAUGUAAUGUAGAUGUUAUGAUGUUAUGUUUCAUCAGUCGAUAGAAGAAUCUUGCAUUAAGCUGAUAAACAACUGUA